CCUACGGGGUGCAGCAGUGAGGAAUAUUGGUCAAUGGACGAGAGUCUGAACCAGCCAAGUAGCAUGAAGGAUGACUGCCCUAUGGGUUGUAAACUUCUUUUAUAUGGGAAUAAAACGUUCCACGUGUGGGAUUUUGUAUGUACCAUAUGAAUAAGGAUCGGCUAACUCCGUGCCAGCAGCCGCGGUAAUACGGAGGAUCCGAGCGUUAUCCGGAUUUAUUGGGUUUAAAGGGAGCGUAGGUGGAUUGUUAAGUCAGUUGUGAAAGUUUGCGGCUCAACCGUAAAAUUGCAGUUGAAACUGGCAGUCUUGAGUACAGUAGAGGUGGGCGGAAUUCGUGGUGUAGCGGUGAAAUGCUUAGAUAUCACGAAGAACUCCGAUUGCGAAGGCAGUUCACUGGACUGCAACUGACACUGAGGCUCGAAAGUGUGGGUAUCAAACAGGAUUAGAUACCCGGGUAGUC
rnacentral:rRNA from 1 species